rnacentral:lncRNA from 1 species
GAGACUCACCGGGCCAGACACUGGAGAAAGUGGGAGGGCUGGGAAUAGAUAUUGUUAGUGACCUGGUGGCCUUUUGCUAUCUGUUGGGGUAGACCUCACCCAACUCCCACCCCCAUAAUGAUUAUCCCAGAUGCUCUCUCACUAGAACCUUAUUUUUAGCUCCCAGUUAUUAGAAUCCAUCCUUUCGGGAGAUGUCACAUGGACUUUAUAGCCUGUUGACCUAGGUCAGAGACAUUAAUUAGUUUUGGGCCUUUUAGCUAUAGAACCCACCUUCUUUUUUUUUUUUUU